rnacentral:rRNA from 1 species
UACAGAGGGUGCAAGCGUUGUUCGGAAUUACUGGGCGUAAAGCGCGUGUAGGCGGUUUGGUAAGUUCUGUGUGAAAGCCCUGGGCUCAACCCAGGAAGUGCGCAGAAUACUGCCUGACUGGAGUGACGGAGAGGAUGGCGGAAUUCCCGGUGUAGAGGUGAAAUUCGUAGAUAUCGGGAGGAACACCGGUGGCGAAGGCGGCCUUCUGGUCGGAUACUGACGCUAAAACGCGAAAGCGUGGGGAGCAAACAGG